AAUGUGUGUAAAAUUUGGACUCGUUCCGAUGUCUAAUUUUGGAUUUCUUUGGAUUUUUGAUUUUCCACGUCUAAUUUAGCUCAUAAACCAAUAUUCAAAACGCUACCGUUUCGUCGUCGAAGGUCGGAUCAAAAAACUGUCUCACGAUUCCUUUGCGUGUGCGUCUGAAGAUGUCGUGUGCAAAGUUUGGUGUCGAUUGGUCAAGAAAUGUGGGAGGAGUAGGGAAAAAACAGUUUUGCGGUUUUCGCGAUUUUGCGAAAAAAAAA
ensembl:lncRNA